rnacentral:rRNA from 1 species
AACGAACGCUGGCGGCAUGCCUAACACAUGCAAGUCGAACGGGAUCCUAGCUUGCUAGGUGAGAGUGGCGGACGGGUGAGUAACACGUGGGAAUCUGCCUUUUGGUUCGGGAUAACCGCGGGAAACUGCGGCUAAUACCGAAUGCCCUCGAGAGAGGAAAGAUUUAUCGCCAGAAGAGGAGCCCGCGUCCGAUUAGGUAGUUGGUGGGGUAAAGGCCUACCAAGCCGACGAUCGGUAGCUGGUCUGAGAGGAUGAUCAGCCACACUGGGACUGAGAUACGGCCCAGACUCUUACGGGAGGCAGCAGUGGGGAAUAUUGGACAAUGGGGGCAACCCUGAUCCAGCAAUGCCGCGUGAGUGAUGAAGGCCUUAGGGUUGUAAGCUCUUUUGCCAGGGAAGAUGAUGACUGUACCUGGAGAAUAAGCCCCGGCUAACUUCGUGCCAGCAGCCGCGGU